rnacentral:rRNA from 1 species
GACGAACGCUGGCGGCGUGCUUAACACAUGCAAGUCGAACGGAAAGACCCUGCUUUUGUGGGGUGCUCGAGUGGCGAACGGGUGAGUAACACGUGAGUAACCUGCCCUUGACUUUGGGAUAACUUCAGGAAACUGGGGCUACUACCGGAUAGGAGCUCCUGCUGCAUGGUGGGGGUUGGAAAGUUUCGGCGGUUGGGGAUGGACUCGCGGCUUAUCAGCUUGUUGGUGGGGUAGUGGCUUACCAAGGCUUUGACGGGUAGCCGGCCUGAGAGGGUGACCGGCCACAUUGGGACUGAGAUACGGCCCAGACGCCUACGGGAGGCAGCAGUGGGGAAUAUUGCACAAUGGGCGGAAGCCUGAUGCAGCAACGCCGCGUGCGGGAUGACGGCCUUCGGGUUGUAAACCGCUUUCGCCUGUGACGAAGCGUGAGUGACGGUAAUGGGUAAAGAAGCACCGGCUAACUACGUG